CUUGGCCUAGGAUGCAGGGGACACUGGGUUAGUCCAGGAGGGGGAGGACUUGGUGGGGCUCCAGUUCAUGGUGGCCCAGAGCCAGUGCUCAGAUAAGGGCACUGGUUUCUGAAGAAGCCUAGGGCUGGUCUUGGAGUGUGGCUCCCUCAGAGUCCACCACAAAUGACUGCCCAGCCCUGUGUGUGAAUCAGCAUCCAUUGCUUUACCUUUAGAAUGAACGGGUGGGGAAUGUCAGGCUAAGGCCCAAGAGAUCUGGUCUGGCCCUGCCAAGGCAUUAGGGUUGAGUCUGACCAAGUGUAACAGGUUAAUUUUUAAGUGAAUAAUUUGUUAUGGCCUGCAAAGGAUGCUAUAGAUAUCCAAAUGACCCUUGCUGGAAAAAAGGUUCCUAAAAAUGCAAUGACAGCUGGAGAAAAACGUUAUUUUGAAAAUGUAGCCAAAACUAGAAAUUUUUUU